rnacentral:rRNA from 1 species
CCCAAGAGAUCGGGAUAACACCUGGAAACAGAUGCUAAUACCGGAUAACAACAGAUGAUGCCUAUCAACUGUUUAAAAGAUGGUUCUGCUAUCACUCUUGGAUGGACCUGCGGUGCAUUAGCUAGUUGGUAGGGUAACGGCCUACCAAGGCGAUGAUGCAUAGCCGAGUUGAGAGACUGAUCGGCCACANUUGGGACUGAGACACGGCCCAAACUCCUACGGGGAGGCAGCAGCC